CCGUUAGUGGGAUAGGGGGAGCGCGGCUAUAAUGCAGUCGAGGGAAGAUGGGAGCUUGCUCCCUGAUGUUAGCGGGGAAGGGUGAGUAACACGUGGGUAACCUGCCUGUAAGACUGGGAUAACUCCGGGAAACCGGGGCUAAUACCGGAUGGUUGUUUGAACCGCAUGGUUCAAACAUAAAAGGUGGCUUCGGCUACCACUUACAGAUGGACCCGCGGCGCAUUAGCUAGUUGGUGAGGUAACGGCUCACCAAGGCGACGAUGCGUAGCCGACCUGAGAGGGUGAUCGGCCACACUGGGACUGAAACACGGCCCAGACUCCUACGGGAGGCAGCAGUAGGGAAUCUUCCGCAAUGGACAAAAGUCUGACGGAACACCGCCGCGGGAGUGAUGAAGGUUUUUUUUUCGUAAACCUCUGUUGUUAGGGAAAAACAAGUGCCGUUCAAAUGGGGCGGCACCUUGACGGUACCUAACCAAAAAGCCACGGCUAACUACGUGCCAGCAGCCGGGGUAAUACGUAGGUGGCAAGCGUUGUCCAAAAUUAUUGGGCGUAAAGGGCUCGCAGGCGGUUUCUUAACUCUGAUGUGAAAGCCCCCGGCUCAACCGGGGGAGGGUCAUUGGAAACAGGGGAACUUGAGUGCAAAAAGAGGAGAGUGAAAUUCCACGUGUAGCGGUGAAAUUGCGUAGAGAUGUGGAAGAACCACCAUUGGAAACGGCCACUCUCCGGGUCUGUACUGGACGCUGAAGGAGCGAAAGCGUGGGGAGCGAACGGUAUUAACUUCCUGUGGCUACCCCCACCCCUUAAACGAAUGAGUGCUAAAUGGUGAGGGGGGGUUUCCCGCCCCCUUAGUUGCUGCAACUAACGCAAUUAAGCCACUCGCCCUGGGGCAGUACGUCCGCGAGGACUUGCACACUCAAAGGUAUUGGAAGCGGCGCCCGAAAAGCUGUGGCCCAUGGUGUUUUAUUUACAAAGUCACCCCAAAAUACUUUACCCCGGG
rnacentral:rRNA from 1 species